rnacentral:misc_RNA from 1 species
AAGUCGUAACAAGGUUUCCGUAGGUGAACCUGCGGAAGGAUCAUUAGCGUAAUUCUGGUUGAAAAACCGAGGAUUUCCACACUUGUGUUUUAAGCAAAAGGUUUUCAAAGUGUUCUCUUGUUUUCUUUACUAGAAAAGGGAGACACUAGGAAUUUUUUGCGAAUCUCAAAAACUGUCUCUUUUUUCUUUUCUGUUUGAUUACAGAGGAAGAAGGACGGUAUAAACUUUUUUAUUAUCAAUAAUAAAUAAAAACUUUCAACAACGGAUCUCUUGGUUCUG